GUCCACGCCGUAAACGAUGAGUGCUAGGUGUUGGAUCCUUCCGGGAUUCAGUGCCGCAGCUAACGCAUUAAGCACUCCGCCUGGGAGUACGACCGCAAGGUUGAAACUCAAAGGAAUUGACGGGGCCCGCACAAGCGGUGGAGCAUGUGGUUUAAUUCGAAGCAACGCGAAGAACCUUACCAGGUCUUGACAUCCCGAUGCUAUUUCUAGAGAUAGAAGUUACUUCGGUACAUCGGUGACAGGUGGUGCAUGGUUGUCGU
rnacentral:rRNA from 1 species